UACGUAGGGGGCAAGCGUUGUCCGGAUUUAUUGGGCGUAAAGAGCGUGUAGGCGGCUAGGUAGGUCCGUUGUGAAAACUGGAGGCUCAACUUCCAGACGUCGACGGAAACCGUGUGGCUAGAGUCCGGAAGAGGAGAGUGGAAUUCCUGGUGUAGCGGUGAAAUGCCCAGAUAUCAGGAAGAACACCAAUGGCGAAGGCAGCUCUCUGGGACGGUACUGACGCUGAGACGCGAAAGCGUGGGGAGCUAACAGG
rnacentral:rRNA from 1 species